UCCAGUUCAUGGUCUGAUGAAAGAUUUGGAUCGUCUGGAGAUGAAGUAGAAGGAGCAGUGUUGCUGAUGUGAACAUCUGAUUCAGAUUCUCUACUUUCUCCGAUGAUGGCCUCUUGAUCAUUGUUCUCUUCUUUGCCAGUGGUAGGCACAUGCGGAUUAGGUUCAUUCCUAAACAAAAAGAUUGACUUUUGUGAGAGUUACUCUUGAGAUCCAUCUCAGAAGUUUGUUUUCAUUGAGAGUUAAUCUUGUCUAUAAACUGUGUGAGACAGAAUGAGUGCAGGGUUUUACCUUUCUGUGUUGUCUUUAGAACCUCCUGUAGUAAUCUCAUUGCUUGAUCUUGUGGGCUUUUUACUCUUCUGAUUUGUUCUUCUCUUUCUGCAGAAGAAGACAAGUCUUAAGCAUCAGUUUGCAUCGUUCAAGAAACCAAGUUUGAUUGAUGACAAAAAAAAGAAAAAAGAAAAAAGAAAAAAGAAAAAAGAAACCAAGUUUGAUUUUGAGGGGAGCCAUUAGCAAAUCUUGUUCUAACAUUUAGUUACCUG
rnacentral:lncRNA from 1 species